AUUGGACGCUGGCGGCAUGCUUUACACAUGCAAGUCGAACGGCAGCGCGGGCUUCGGCCUGGCGGCGAGUGGCGAACGGGUGAGUAAUACAUCGGAACGUGCCCAGUAGUGGGGGAUAGCUCGGCGAAAGCCGGAUUAAUACCGCAUACGACCUGAGGGUGAAAGCGGGGGAUCUUCGGACCUCGCGCUAUUGGAGCGGCCGAUGGCAGAUUAGCUAGUUGGUGGGGUAAAGGCCUACCAAGGCGACGAUCUGUAGCUGGUCUGAGAGGACGACCAGCCACACUGGGACUGAGACACGGCCCAGACUCCUACGGGAGGCAGCAGUGGGGAAUUUUGGACAAGGGGCGAAAGCCUGAUCCAGCAAUGCCGCGUGUGUGAUGAAGGCCUUCGGGUUGUAAAGCACUUUUGGCGGGAACGAAAAGGACUGUGCCAAUACCACGGUUCGAUGACGGUACCCGCAGAAUAAGCACCGGCUAACUACGUG
rnacentral:rRNA from 1 species